UCAUCAGGAGAGGUUUCUUACUUGAAACCCACCAACCGAACUUAAAAGUUACGGUGGUUAGUUCCAUUAAACGGGAGAUGUGCCUUGAAAAAGGAAAAAUAGAACCGCCUGA
rnacentral:ncRNA from 1 species